rnacentral:lncRNA from 1 species
UCCAAAAAUCAAUAUAAUUAUUCAAAUCCCAUAACACAACAUUAUCACAUUCAUACAAACCAUCACACAAGCAUACAACAUAUCAUCAAUCUACCACUAAUAAACCUUCACAAUCAUCCCUAACAUAUACGCUAUCAUCAUCCAUAUCAUCACCCAUAUCAUCAACCUAAAUCCUCUUCUGUUUCCAACUCAUGAUAACCAGAUUUCGAUCUCUACCUGUCGACAAAAAAAAAAAUCUAAGCCUCUGCCUACAACCCUAAUUCCUCCGCCUCUAGCCUCCAGCCUCCAGCCUCUAGCCUCCAGAGCAUCCGCCUUCAGCCUCCAGAGUGCUGUCGUCGCAUCACCACAGAAAAAACAGAGCACGAGUUAUGUUCUGUUCUUGAAUCACCAGCCCUUUGUCUUCUCGUCUCGAGCCAUGCUUCUUCUGAUAUGGAGUCGGUGGCGAGACCACCACCACCAAGCUUCUUCAGCCUCCUCCACUUUAUUUAACUAAGAACACAAACGCAAAACCAGAAUCAGAACACUAGGAUAGAGAGAGAGAGAGAGAGAGAGAGAGNNNN